rnacentral:lncRNA from 1 species
AAUACACUAAUUCCUCAUAGGGGUCAAUAAUAGCCAACAACCAAUGAAACCUACAAAACAUAAAUAAUUGCAUUCUUUAUUACAUAAUGGUCAACUACUGAUCUGUUAGGAACAAAAAAUUCAAAACACAUAGUACUAAUAACCCUUUGUUAUACGGAGCAAAAAUUAAUUGUCCUUUUUUGCAGUUCUGUAAUCUAAGAGCCAAUGCAUUUGAUCUUUGUUCCUUUUUGCCAGCCUUUUGAGAGAUUCUGCUAGGAUCUACAAAUCCAAACAAUCCAUCAAGAUUGUUCUUCUAUCUAUAGACAUCCAAGAUUUAUCCAUUGUAAAACAGUUAUAUUGAUUGAUAUUAGAAUAAAACUUAUAACAAGAUUGCAUGAGGGCACAAUAUAUAAACUGUUGCGAGCUAAAGAUAAAAAACAAAAGCAGAGCUUAUGAGGAGUUUUAUCAAAUGUGUGGUGUGCUAUAAACACCAACUCCCACAAGAACACACAAUCUAAAGAUUAAAAAAAAAAAGAGGAUAAAAGUAAUAGUUAAUCUAAUUCAGAAUUGGUAUUAAGGGGAUCACAAAGUUAAAAAAAAAAAAAAACCAAUGAUCAAUCUCGUUAUCCAACAUAGCAAAUGACAAGGGUAAACUACAAUUUGUACAACAACUACUUUAGCAAAUGACAAGGCUAAAAUACAAUUUGUACAACAACUACUUUAGCAAAUGACAAGGCUAAACUAAAAUCUGUCCAGCCACAUAGCUUGGACUAAUCAAUACAACUUCACAAAAGAGAUUAAUAUAGAAAUUAUUUUCUAGAAAACCCAUAACUAUUCCAACAAACUUACCUUACACAAUUAGGUUUUGAGUGAAAUUUGGGGGAAACAAUCAAUCUGGUUGAUGAAGACUGUGGGCGUCCCAGAGAGAGAGAAAGAGAGGGAGAGAUAGAAAGACAGUGAGUGUUCGUGAUGAAGACUGUGUGAUGAAGAUUGGGCGUCCCAGAGAGAGAGAAGGAGAGGGGAAGAUAGAAAGAUGGUGAGUCUUCCACCUUGAGGAGAAAGAGAGCGUUGAUAUUUCAUUCUCUAUUUGGGAGUUGGCUAGGAAUGGGUUGGGUGGUAGAGUGAAUGAGUCGUGAGGGUUUAGGAAGUUUUGAGGAAUUCGCAGGACGCUCUUCUUUUUUAUAAAUCCUUCCUAUUGGUUUUUUUAGUUGCGUCAUCGAUUUAUUUUAAUAACGUUUUUAAUAAAAAAAUAUCAUUAAAAAACUUAAUAAGUGUCAUGAAAGCUCUAUUUUGUAGUAGUGAAAGUAUGUGAUAAUAAUAAUAGAAUCAACAAUCAAUCACAGUUUAUAAACCUCGAAUAUAAAUCAUUCGUAAGAGAUCAAUAUCGAGUCUCUGAAAUCUUCGAAUGAGUCACCUAGACAUCCAAUGGCUUUUCUAAAUCAAAAUACAAGGUUCCCAAAACUAUAGUUCACGAAAACACUAGAAACUAGGGCUAGAGUGAUGUAGUUUAGCCGAAGCCUACAUAAGUAACCAAACAGGAAGUGGCCCCCCAAAGUGGAUUAACCAAGCAGAGCCACCCUUAAGAAAGUAACCAAGCAAGCAGUGACCUCCCCCAAUGCGGAUUAACCAAACAGAGUCUGAAGGGAAAUCUAUGAGAUUCAUGUAUGGGAUUUCU